AUUCUUCCAUUAGACUUUGGAGA
rnacentral:snRNA from 1 species